GAUUUCUGGCACAGUGUGAUUGGCCCGCCACGGUUUCGUGUGUGAGUGCUGAUUUAUACUUGCCAUCCUUCUAGUGGUCUAUAUAGCUCCCUUCAUUGGGUGUCUGUAUAGUUGCCCUAGAUCUUUUACUUUGAAAAAAUUAGAGUGUUUAAAGCAGGCUUUUGCUAUGAAUACAUUAGCAUGGAAUAAUAAUUUAGGACUUCGGUUCUAUUUUGUUGGUUUCUAGGACUGAAGUAAUGAUUGAUAGGGAUAGUUGGGGGUGCUAGUAUUCAGCGGCCAGAGGUGAAAUUCUCGGAUUCGCUGAAGACUAACUUAUGCGAAAGCAUU
rnacentral:rRNA from 1 species